CUAUGGAGAAGCGUGCCGGGGGCGAGACCAGAGGCAGGGACUGAUGGCAGGGAGGCACAAAACCUUGGGGAAUUCAGCAAAGGCAGCCAUAGGCAUGGGGCAGAAGUGACUGAAGUCCCGUCCUGUCCUCGGGACUCUGACAUCUGCUUCCCGGGCUUCAGCAGGGGAUGACCUCAGCCUUCAAGCCAGGUGUCUUUCCCAUCUUCCCACCAAGGUGAAAUGCAUCGAUGACAAGGUCCUGAGCUGCUUUCCUCCUCCACGCCCUUCUGCCCAGAGCAUGGAKUCAGCUGUCUGUGGACUGAGACCUCUGAAACCAUGAUCCCCCAAUAAA